AUUCAGACCGUCGUCCAUCCCCAAUCCAGUCGCUGCUAGCUAGGGAUUGCUCGGCGGCGAUCGCCCCAAUGUCGUCCGAUAUGCUUCCAUAAUCAAUCAACAUUGUAUCAUCUCCUCCCUCUUCAGACAGGACUUUGUCCUCAAGGUUUAAGGACGGAAAGAACGCUUCUAUCUUGGCUACGGUCUCCCAUGAAAAGUCUCCCAAUAAUGAGCCACUCCACUGAAUGAGUACCUGUUUUACUUUGCAUUUUCCUUUCCAAAUGAAUCUUGAAUCCAGAAUUGUGAUUGAGUAUAUCACAGGUCGAUUUUCAACGACAAUUAGUGGGUUUGCAGUAGUGGCAUUUUCUGGACUAUCACCUUGGAAUUUUUUUUAAUCUUGGCACAUGAAAAGUAUUGUGAAUUUUGCUUCCAUCUGGUAAUCAUAAUUGAUAAGCAGCCC
rnacentral:lncRNA from 1 species